rnacentral:rRNA from 1 species
GCUACGGGUGGCAGCAGUCGAGAAUCAUUCACAAUGGGGGAAACCCUGAUGGGGCGACGCCGCGUGGGGGAAUGAAGGUCUGCGGAUUGUAAACCCCUGUCAUGUGGGAGCAAAUUAAAAAGAUAGUACCACAAGAGGAAGAGACGGCUAACUCUGUGCCAGCAGCCGCGGUAAUACAGAGGUCUCAAGCGUUGUUCGGAAUUACUGGGCGUAAAGCGCUCGUAGGCGGUAUGUCAAGUCAAGGGUGAAAUCCCCGCGCUCAACGUGGGAACUUCCUUUGAAACUGGCAAACUGGAGUGUGUGAUAGGAUAGUGGAAUUCCAGGUGUAGGCGUGAAAUCCGUAGAUAUCUGGAGUAACAUCAGUGGCGAAGGCGACUCUCUGGCACAUAACUGACGCUGAGGAGCGAAAGCGUGGGUAGCAAACAGGAUUAGAUACCCUUGUAGUC